GAUUCUGUAGCUCAGUUAGUUAGAGCACUGCACCGGAAUUGCAGGACCGCAGGUUCGAUUCCUGCCAGAGGGC
rnacentral:tRNA from 1 species